UACGUAGGAUGCAAGCGUUGUCCGGAAUUACUGGGCGUAAAGGGCUCGUAGGCGGCCAACUAAGUCGGACGUGAAAUCCCUCGGCUUAACCGGGGAGCUGCUUCCGAUACUGGAUGGCUUGAGUGUGGGAGAGGGAUGCGGAAUUCCAGGUGUAGCGGUGAAAUGCGUAGAUAUCUGGAGGAACACCGGUGGCGAAGGCGGCAUCCUGGACCAUUACUGGCGCUGAGUGAGCGAAAGCCAGGGGAGCAAACGGG
rnacentral:rRNA from 1 species